UACGGGGGGGCAAGCGUUGUUCGGAAUUACUGGGCGUAAAGGGCUCGUAGGCGGCCAACUAAGUCAGACGUGAAAUCCCCAGGCUCAACCUGGGAACUGCGUCUGAUACUGGAUGGCUUGAAUCCGGGAGAGGGAUGCAGAAUUCCAGGUGUAGCGGUGAAAUGCGUAGAUAUCUGGAGGAAUACCGGUGGCGAAGGCGGCAUCCUGGACCGGCAUUGACGCUGAGGAGCGAAAGCUAGGGGAGCAAACGGG
rnacentral:rRNA from 1 species